rnacentral:rRNA from 1 species
UACGGAGGGAGCUAGCGUUGUUCGGAAUUACUGGGCGUAAAGCGCACGUAGGCGGCUUUGUAAGUUAGAGGUGAAAGCCCGGGGCUCAACCCCGGAAUUGCCUUUAAGACUGCAUCGCUUGAAUCCGGGAGAGGAGAGUGGAAUUCCUGGUGUAGCGGUGAAAUGCGCAGAUAUCAGGAAGAACACCCGUGGCGGAAGGC